CGUAGCAAAGUUCAGUAUUUUUUCCAGAAAACUCGGCAAAGAUUUUACCCUCUGAGGCAUAGAUGCCCAUCUGCUUGUCCCCAGAGCUUGUGAAUAGGUUAUUUCACGUGGCUAAACGGACUUUGCAGAUAUGAUUAAGCUAAGGGUCUUGAGAUGGGGAGAUGAUUCUGGAUUAUCUGCAUGGGCGCAGUGUCAUUACAAAGGUUCUGAUAGGAGAGAGGCCGGAGAGACGAGAAGGAGACAUGAUGAGGGAAGCAGAGGUUGGAGUGAUGUGAGGCCAUGAGCCAAGGAAUGCAGGAAGCCUCUAGAAGGCAGAAAAGGCCCAGCCAUAGAUUCCUCUUUAGAGCUUCCAGAAAGAACGCAGCCCUGCUAACUCCUUGAUUUUAGGGCUUCUGACCUCCAGACGUGUAAGAGAAUAAACGUGUGCUGUUUGAAGUCACUCAGUUUGUGGUGAUGUGUUACAGCAGCCACAGGAAGCUAAUGUAGGAGGAUUCAACAGGCUAUUUUCAAUUCAGUGAGAGUGCUUUGGUGAAAGCGUUAGGGGUAAUGGCAGGCAGGAGUGUUCAGAGUCAGUUACUGUACAGAGUUUAUUGGGAGCCCACCAUCAGCUAGGAACUGAGACCUCCCUUGUGGACAAACUGACAUGGGCUCUGCCGAUACGGAACUUAGAGCCACAGGAGGAAGACCGGCAUUAAACCAAAAUGGCUAUUAAUUAACCUCAAGUGUGCAGUGUGCUAUGAAGUACUGCAUGGUACGAUGCAAAUGAUUAAAAGGAGAGCUCUUUCUUCUGGAUGGUCAGGGAAGGUUUUCCUGAGGAUGUGAUGUUUAAGGCAGACUCUGAGGUUGAAAGAGCCUUUCAGACAAUCGGUAGAGCAUAUGCAAAAGCUGUAGGCAGGCAAAGCAUUGUGUUUUAACGAGUUAAGAGAAAUCCAGUGCCAUUGGAGCCGACAGAAUAAGGGCUAGUGCUGUACAAGAGGAGAUGGAGGGGUGACUAGGGCUAGGCGAGACAGGGCCUUGUAGGCCGCUGAAGGAUUGUGGCAUGCCCAUAUUUACAGUUUUAUUUUUAUUAAAAAGUUUUUUUCUAAUGUUUAUUUUUGAGACAGGGCGAGACAGAGCAUGAGCAGGGGAGGGGCAGAGAGAGCGGGAGACACAGAAUCUGAAGCAGGAUCCAGGCUCUGAGCUGUCAGCGGGGCUCGAACCCGCAAACGCGGUAUCAUGACCUGAGCCGAAGUCAGAUGCUUAACCGACCGAGCCACCCAGCUGCCCUGAGGUGUUGAAGGAUUCUAAGCAGAGUUUACGAAAAUGGGGACAUGUUCUGAAUUCCAGGUCGUCAGCUGUCAGCACAGAGCCGGAUGUGGGGCUCGGACUCAUCAAAAGUGACAUCGUGACCUGAGUUGAAGUCAGACGCUCGACCAACUGAGCCACCCAGGCGCCAACCCCCCGCCCCUCCGCAUUUAUACUUAAAGAUCACGUAGGCUAUAGUGGAUGAAAGAAGGGACUGAGGUGCAACAGAAGAUGGCAAGAGACCAGUUAUAAGGAUACUGCAACAGCCCGGUGUUGAAGAGAUUUUGUGUCUCCAGGGAGUCGGAGUGACUUGAUACGUCAGAGCAGUUCUGCAGUGUGUAUGCAGUGGUUCUUCAUGGAGCGCGGUGAGUCCCAUGAGCAGACAGAGGACAAGAGCAUAUUAGAGAUCAGCUGAAGUGCAGCCCUCUCAUUUUACAUAGGAGGAAUUGGGCAUGGAAAGAUGAAGCAAUUUUCCCAAAUCCACAGAGCUACUUCGUGGCAGAUCUAGGCCUGCAACUUUGGGGUCAGGUGUCUCCGAGGCUGUGCUGUCCCGUUCGAAUGCCUCGAAUCAGCCACAGCGCCCAUAAUUGAGAGCUUCUUCCGGCCGGGAGGGUACCUUCUCCACCUCUCACGACAAAUCUUUAAAGGAGGCCUUAUCACUCCCAUUUCCCAGGUCUUCAAGUCAUGGCAGAGACAAAAGCCUUGGCAACUGGGUAACUCCCUGAACGAUAAUCCAGUGUUGGAUCUCCUGACUCUACCAUAUAUCAGUGGAUGGCCACGGGCAAGUUGCUGAACUUCUCUGAGCCUCAGGUUUCUCAUCUGCUUUCGGCAUAAGUGGAGGGAGAAGAAGGUGAAAAGAGUUGGAACUGACAAUAAAACUCCAGCGCCCUGGAGAGGGGGCCUUCCUGGAAGCUACAUAAGUCUCCCUGAUGGAAGGAAAUCUUAGCGACUUUGGAAACGACUCAAGUUUGCUGUCAUGUUCACAUGUGGUGGUCGUGACGGUCAGGGCCGGGGGAGGCUGCACCUUAGUGAACAGCUUGGGUGAAUGAGGGCUGUACUAAACUCACCGAUGUGAGAAAUGCCAAGUUUUCCAGAUAAUAGGUGGCACCUUAGAUGUCAGAGUCCACUGCAAAUAAUAGUUCGUGCUCAGUUAGUUAUGGGUACUAAGUAAAUAUUAAUAGAAACUGAUAAGAUCAUGAUUUGGAGAAAAACAGAAAAGCAGUAAGUAGAUUGUGACAAGUUGCUGUGUAAUUACCUUUCAUCUUUUGGGGUAAAGGAGAACUGAAUAAAGCCACUCAUGUUACCUA